CGCGCUCAUGCCUGGGUGUUCACAUGCUUGGGCAUGGUGGGGGGAGAGGAGAAAGAGAGAGAGAGCGCGUGAGAGAGCACGCAAGCCACCAUUUAGUCACUUGGAUACAGCUGUGCCUGAAACUGGAUACACACCACCGAUAAAUUCCCAUAGUGCUUCAGCAAAUUUGAGUUGGUUUCCCGGGCUCUCUAGCAAAAUAACUUGAAUAAUACAACAACACAGAGCAAGCCUCAAACUAGUCUGCUUCUCAGUGGAACAUCCCACGGUGAAAGCAGUUGUCAAGAAAAAGGAAUACAGUAGACUGUUUAGUCCCAGGCCUUGAAAGUUUGUCGUUCUCUCCGUCUGGACUCGAGGCUUCUGUCGCAACCAUGCUUCUCCAGAUCAUCAUUCAGGCCAAGAGGCAUCCUAGCUUGAUCCCUAUCUUCAUAUUUACUGGAGUGGGAGGUACUGGAGCAGCGCUGUAUGUCUCGCACCUGGCGUUGUUCAAUCCAGAUGUCAGUUGGAACAGAAAGGAUAACCCAGAACCCUGGAACAAACUGGGUCCCAAUGAUCAGUACAAGUUCUAUUCAGUGAAUGUAGAUUACAGCAAACUGAAGAGAGAAGGUCCAGACUUCUAAAUGAAAUGUUUCACUAUAAAACUGCUUAGAAUGAAGUUCUUCCAGAAGCCACCUGCACAAUUUUCCACUUAACCAGGAAAUAUUUCCCCUCUAAAUGCACGAAAUCAUGUUGGUGUAUUGUGCUGGGGUUUACACUGAUUAAUAAAUAGUCUGAAACUU